rnacentral:tRNA from 6 species
GCGGGUGUAGUUCAAUGGUAGAACAUCAGCCUUCCAAGCUGAUUGUGAGGGUUCGAUUCCCUUCACCCGCUCCA